UGAUGAUGAUUAUGAUGAUGAUGAUGGUGAUGAUGAUGAUGAUACAUUGUGUAUGUGAAAGAGUCUUGAAGGUGGUGCCACACUCAGGGGUAUGGCCAAUGAAAACCGACGGUGUGCAGGGCACAGGGGUGUAGCAGAGCAGACCGCGGAGGCUACACCUGCGCCAGAGUCACAUACUGUCGAUGGAGGACUAGAGAACAGUGUCUGUGUUAUUUCAAAGCUCUAGGUUGUGACUCAUGGCGGUUGAGAGGCGUGCAUCGCCUGGACACAAACAAAGCCUUCCUUGGCGAGCGAUUCUUUUUGCUGUGCACGACAUGAUGAGGAAAUGACAGUUCUUACAGUACUAUUGAUUAUGUUUUUUAAAACUCCGCUGGGCACUGUUGUUGCUUGCUUUUUAUAUCUAUGGCCCAACAAAAGGACGGAAGAAGGGGGAUGUUUAUAUGAGAGAGGAGAAGAUAGAGAGUCAGAUAGAGAGAGAAAAGAGAGGGAACAAUCAGAAGAGAGGAAGGGGCAGAGAGGAGGCAGGAGCUAACAAAGAGAGAGAGAGAGAGAGAGAGAGAGAGAGAGAGAGAGAGAGAGAGAAUAAAGAGGAAGAGAGAGAAAUAAAGAGGUUGUCCAUAAAACAUGCUCUGUAUAGCUACAGCGUGCAAAAGUCUGCCUUUUGGUGACAUUAUUAUUAUCAUUAACAAACCCAUACAUGAAUGCAUUACCCUUCGUCAAUAAACAAACAACAACAACAACAGCGAGAAUAGCGAUAAAGAAAAUUAAAAUCAGAUAAUGGAACGCGUCUCCUCGAUUCAAAACCACUUCCUUAAACAUUAAGGAACUGAGCUGCGAGAGAUCCAACGAUUGGCUGCUGGACAGGACAUUAGCUCCUCCCACUUCAUAAA